UCAGCAGCUAACAGAAACAGACGGAAAUGGGGGUAACACUGUACACUAGUGUCUACAAUAGUCGUCGAGUGCAUCAAUAAUUACCCUUCAAAGAUUACUAUUACCGAAUAAACUAACCGGAGUGCGCGGGAGUUAAAUUAAGUGUUAUUCCUCUGACCGUUGAAAUAAAAACUGAACUAAAAAAAUAUUCACUCGUGAGUAAAAGGUGUAUCUGCCGUCCGAGGUGUCUGGCGUAGCUGUAGUGGUGCAUUACGACGGCCGUGACAGCCAAAGACUGAGUGCUCGGUGAGCUCCAGCCUUGAGGUGAGACUAAUAAUCCGGGCCGAGGCUCGGAGUGCUCCUGGACCCGGACCGGGAAAUAAAAAGCUUCCCUUAAGAAUAUCCUCGGGAGUUACCUCUUAAAACUUGCCACUGAAGGCGGCAGGGACGCCAUUUUGAUAUCCACGGUUUAGCUUCGUCGUCUAACUAGAGGCACUGGUGGCUCCUGAGCUGCUGAUCCCUCGAGGGGGGGAUUCACUGGCCACUCUCCACAUGGUCUUGGUUUGCUGGGCUGAUAACUCGAGCGAGGAGCUAAUGACUAAAUUCAAGUACAAACUUUGGAUAAAUAAAGCCAGUUUUUAAAUAUUAACAUGGCUAAGAUCCUUAAUAAGGACCCGGUCACCUACGAGAGGGAAAGACUCACUUUUUUGAAGGAGCUUCAUCAUUUUCAUGAGACUAGAGGGACCGGAUUUAAAAAAUAUCCAAAAAUUAGCGGAAAUGAAAUAGAUCUAUAUUUACUUUAUCUACUUGUUACUGCACAUGGUGGAUGGAUCAAGGUAAAUACCAGAAACGAGUGGUCAUCAUUAUGCGAACAAUUUCACUUACCAUCAGGCUGCGUAAACAGCGGCGUGGGCUUGAAGCAAAUUUACUUACGGUAUCUCGACAGGUACGAGAAGGUCCACUUUCUUGGCGAGGACGGACAGCAGGCUGAUGAUGAUGAUGAGGACUCCAGGCAUCGCAAGUGGUCAGCCAGGUCGCUUCAUUCUGUUCCUCUUACUUACAAUUAUCAUCAACACAAUGUCGCUGAAUCACUCCGCGAGUACAACGGACUGUCAUCGAAUCUCUACAAGCCCUCAAACUACGACAAGUUAGCACUGUCCUUGCUCUCACCGCUGCCCAAUGAGCAGGACUUUGCUAUAAAUGUCUGCACCCUUUUAUCUAACGAAGGCAAGCACACGCUGAGAUUAGACAAGUAUCCCCGGCUUAUCAACAUCUUGCUUGCCCAUGCUGGGGUUUUUGACUCUCCAGGGACGAGGCACCUAUUUAUUGAAGUUUACUCCAGAGUGAGGAACUACUCUAUAAACUCAUUUUGGUCUGAUGUUCUUGACUCGCCCCAGGUGCUAGAUCUCACUGAUGAAAGGACUUUUAUGAAGAAACCCACGCCGACUAUUCUAAAUACUUUCUCGAGGAGGAAAAUCUUAGAUAAAAAUAGUAAGAAAGCUGCGGGGGAGAGUAAAGAGAAAAUUUCUGAAGAUAAGGAGCAGGAUAAAGAGCAGCAAGAAAAGCUAGUAAACGGCGAAGCAAUGGAAGUAGAUCCCCUGCCUCUAGAAUGUUCCCGCUUAGCCUCAACUCUAAGCAUCUCCUCGCUCUCAACGUACCUAGACGAAGGUUGUUUCGACCAGAACGCAAACUCAAUAAUAAAAUUCGAGGAAGAGGACCGCGAUUUGUUCUGCAUGGGUCGUACCUUGGGCACGCAGGACCCUUAUGGCCAGCGAGUUCUGCAAAUCGCUUCAAUCCUUAGGAACUUAAGCUUCACUCCAGAGAAUGCAGCGGUUCUUGGAAAGAACCGCUGCUUUUUACGGUUCGUGUUGCUUUGCGUCCGCGCGAGAUGGAGCAAUUUACACCAACUUGGCUUCGACAUCCUGGGGAACAUCGCGAACGAGAUCGAGCUUAAAGAAAUCGGAGAAAGACUAGCUGAGGGGAUAAUAAAUUGCAUCGUCCACGGGAUCGACUCCACGGAUCGGUUCGUGGUGAUGUCUUGCUUGGAAGUCCUUAAUAAGAUCAGCCAACAAGACUGCAAUGAGGAGCUGGUGAUUUUCGGGCUGGAUGAUCAAGUCUUUGAAUUAAUCUGCAGGUUCCUGGCACUCAGCGACAUAGCGCUGCUUGUCUACACCCUGGAGUGCUUGUACGCGCUGACGAGUCUCGGAGAGAGACCUUGCACCAGCUUGGCGAGGGUCCGGGGUGCCAUUGACACCCUGGUGGCCUUGGUCACAGUUGAAGCUCAGAGCUAUGGACCCAAGGCGUGUAUCUUAAUGCGCGUCGUGGAAACUGUCAGCACUCUAGCGACCUCUACCGUCAGCCAGAGCACCACUACCACCACUACUACUUCUGUUCCUACUCCCGUUGCUACCACACCAGCUGUCGUCACCACAGCUAGCAUCCCAGCUCCAGUUGCUGCUCCUGUAGUUAGUCCUGUAACCUCCAGGCCGACUACUCCAGCGACCCCUGCUGUCAAGGCUGCUGCUAAUAAAGCCAUCGAGGCUGCUAAUUCUCUCCAGCAGCAGCAUGCUCAUCAGCAAAUUAUCCAAGAGAAUGAACAGUUUGCUCUCGGGUGGCUCAGAGCCACUUUUGAACUUGCGCCUGGGGUUAAGAUUGAACAGGAAGAACUUUAUAAAAAAUAUUUGAGCUCUUGUACUAAAAUUGGACGACGGGGAGUCAUUGCUCCGCUUCAUUUUCCUAGAUGUGUUAGAUCGGUAUUUGGCGGAACAAUAGGCCCAAACCCACAAAAAGGAGAAACAACAGGAACGCAGUACUACGAAGGGAUCAGAGUCCGCGCAACUCCAGCACCAAUCACAUAUCCAAGCCAGCCAUCAUCUCCAGCAGUGGUAACAUCAGUUUCAUCAACUCCAACACCCGCAAAGGUGCUACAACUGGUACAACAGCGUACAGUCACUAAAAGUCCUGCACCCGACAGCACGGCCCUUGAUAACAAUGCAUCCAAGACAAUUACCAACUCCACCGCCACAGCCCAGACACCCGCGUCUCCUAUACUAAAGGCCCACUUGUCAGCCCCACCGAAACCGACACCCUCAAACGCUACUCUGAACCAACCCCAGAUCAUUACCAAGGUUGACUCUAAAAGUCAGGUGUCCGUGACGCAUCCUCAUCUAAGCCAGGCGCUGCUCGCCAGCGGUUCCGCGCAGAACCAACCCCCACUCCAAGGAACAGUUCAGGCGCAGGCGCAGACGCAAACUCAGACCCAGAUGGUUCAAGUGGUGACCAAAGAUGGCGGUACCACUUCAAGUUCGAUAAUAAAAAGCCUAUUGGCUACAAAGGUAACGGUCAGCGGCGACUGCAUGCCCAGCGCCGCUGCUACCUGUGUGUCUACUUCUUCAAAUGCCUGUGUAACAAAUACUACUAGCAUCCCAACAACCAUCAGUGCCAAUCAGCUAAUAACAAACAAUCAGGUCGCGCAAAGACAACAACAGCAAAGACUGCUUCAGCAACAGAUGGCGACACCUACUACUUCUACCGCAACUACGCCCUCUACGGUGGUUCUUAAAGCUCCUGCAAAACAAAGAGGGAACAAGAAAGUACAGCGGCUCAAUGGCGCUAAAGUUGUUGCUAAUAAUUGUGAAAAGAUGGAAGUUAACGACGAAACAGUAACCAGCAGCACACCCUCAGUGAUAGUCUCCACCGAAAACCACAUUGGUCAAAAAGUAAUCCGCCCACCAGUAACCCCAAAAUUCAUCACCCAAAAACCCUACACUCCUCCAGUAACCGAGGAUUCAGACUCCACAAACAAUUCCCUAGCCUCUAGCAGUGGAAUCGGCCGUGAUUGUUCCGGGGUCGCUGAAGAAGAGAACUCCAUCACCAGUUUCGAAGGAAUCCUCCAGAACGGCGCAACCCCAGACCUGGACCAGGACAGCAGUUCCAAGGAAUCAAGCGUGAGUUCCCGAGGGAAGCAGAACUUGAUGCUCGCGGAUCUCCUAGAGCGUAAAGUAGACAGGGAACUUGUCAACGGAGUCCUAAAAAACAUGGAGAACCACGUUAAGAAGGAAGUGAAACUCGAAUGCGGAAUGUCUAUCAACGACGACGCGAUGAUAGAAGCGCCUAUCAAAAGGUCGAGUGAUUCCGAGGAGAAUUCUGUAAAGAAGGUCAAGUACUCCAACGGAACCAGUUCCUGGAACGAGAAUGAUUCAGUUAAUGUUGAGUCAACAGUCUCUUCUAUAAAAUCUGAGGAAGAUCAGGAGGAGAAGGUCACAGUUUCUUCAACAGCAGCUAACCUUUACGCGGCGCUAGCGGCGGAUAUUAUCGAAGAUGAGAACGAUCUAGAGGAACCGGUUAAAGAGGAACCCAAGUUCUCGGAACAAGUCGUCCAGCAGAUCGUCCAGGUUCCUCAGCAAGUUCCUCAGCAGCUGAUCGUCGCUGCUCCAAGGCAAAUUGUUGUUCAGAACAACCAGGUGCUGAUCCCGGGACAGAUGAAGGCCAGGACGACCCAGCCGCAGGUGCUGCUCCAGCAAGGAGCGGGUGGACAGCUCCAGUAUGUCGUCUCAGGAGGCGUUCCAGGUCAAAAUUACGUCUUGGCCCAAUCUCAGACCGCUUUGGUACAAGGUCAGGCGCAAACCGUCCUAGUGGCUCAAACUACCCAACAACAAGGAACUGGAGCUAAAACCAUAAUUAUCCUUCAACCUCAAGCCGCUCAGGGUCAAGGUCACCAGAAGGUCGUCGCAGUUACACCCCAGGGUCAGCAGGUCGUGGUCACACAAAUGCCUCGGCCGAUAAUGCAGAACCCCUCGGUCGGUAACUUACCAGCAAUCGGUAACAUUCCACCUUUGGUACCAACCUCUUCUGCGGUCCAGAAUUCUAUUAUCGUCAACACGUCGAUUGUUACUCAAAGCAAUCCUAAUACUGUUACGGUGACGAUUCCUGCGAUGACUCAACAGUGUCCGGUUACUAGCAGUCUACCGUCCAGAGUGGUCACGCCCACUCCUGCGUCGACUCCGCCCCCAACUAGGCCCACCACGCCCCACCAGGCUGCCGCGACCAAUGUUAAGCUUCACAAUAAACUUCAGAAGGUGACGACUUCGACUUCAACGUCGACGGAGGACAAGCCGAGUACAAGUCAGGCGCAGAGUGAGAAAGUUGUUAUUAAAUUGGAUCCUAAUGCGUUUUUGUGCGAGUGGAGGGGGUGUCUAAAGCAAUUCAAGACUGCGCAUGAGGUUUAUAUGCAUGGGUGUGAAGCACACUGUCCUAAUGAUGCGGAAGAGGUCGUUUGUUUGUGGGCUAGUUGUGAUGGGCUUAAAAGGAGACGGUUUUCCUUGAUGACGCAUUUGUAUGACAAGCAUUGUAAUCCUGAGAAAAUGGCGUUCCUGAGAAGAAAAAACCUAGCGACCAAUGGGAAAGAAGUAUCGACAUCAACCCCAGCGCCCUCAGCGGCGGCGUCAGCCGCCGCUACAGCUUCGCACCCUGGUUACGCGCCGAACGCGGCGCUCCACGCAAUCAAAAGGCACGCUCUUGAGUUUAUCAACCCCAAGGAAUUGAUGCAGCAAAGGCCAAGCAAGCCGGCUGCUCCUACAACUACCGUCAGUUCUCCUCGAGCUGGUCAAAACUCUACACCAGAACAGGAUGACAAUGAAGGUCCAGUUACUAAAAGUAUUCGCCUAACGGCAGCUCUAAUUCUCAGAAACCUAGUCAUAUAUUCAGCCCAUGGUCGAAGGCAUCUCAGAGCUUACGAGCCUCACUUGGCAGGCGUGGCGCUAUCUAACGUCGAAUCAUCCCGAACAAUAGCCCAAGUUCUCUACGACAUGAACGAACAAAGCACCGGGAGUAGCAGGUGACCUUAUUACUGUACUAAUUAAAAAAAUUUCCAAUUAAAGUACACUGAGCAGCGAUCAAUAAUUACAAAAUUGGAUAAUUAUAAUUAUUUAAUUAAUUAAAGUACCCAGGGGCUUUUAAAUGUAUAAAUAAUUAUUAAAGAUCAAUGUCGUAGACAAUUAAGUAUUAAUAAUUAAUUAAUUAUACAAAAUAAUUACAAUGAGGCCUAUUAACUUAUUAGGCGUUGCGCCGGUUAAUUUUUGUUAGUGUCAUAAUUUUUUAUAAAAUUUUUUUUCUUAUUAAAAUAAUUGAUCAUAUCACACAGAACAAUUUUAUUUAAUAUUGUUUGCGUUUUGUAUUGAAAUUAUUUAUAAGUCGAUUUGUUUGUAGUUAAAAAUUUAUUAAUAAUUUUUAUUUGAGUAUUAAAAAUAAAAAAUCUCUGUUUAAAAAUUAA